UACAGAGGGGGCAAGCGUUGUUCGGAAUUACUGGGCGUAAAGGGCGCGUAGGCGGCCCUCUAAGUCAGACGUGAAAUCCCUCGGCUCAACCCGGGAACUGCGUCCGAUACUGGUAGGCUUGAAUUCGGGAGAGGGUCGUGGAAUUCCCAGUGUAGAGGUGAAAUUCGUAGAUAUUGGGAAGAACACCGGUGGCGAAGGCGGCGACCUGGUCCGAUACUGACGCUGAGGCGCGAAAGCGUGGGGAGCAAACAGG
rnacentral:rRNA from 1 species